CAGCAGCAGCAGCACAUCCAGCAAACAGGUUCCUGCUUUCAGGUUCACUAAUUCCUCCUCCUACGUAGAUUCAUAGAUAAUAUCCAUAAGAUCUGGAAACUAAAGAGCAAAUUGAGAACAGCACUUGGUAGAGUGGAGACCAGGAAGCUAAAACUGGAAAAUGCCCCACAGAUGAUUCCAACGCCAACAGAAAGAUGCGGCUUCAAAAGCUGAACUGCCAAGGGCAGAAGACCUGUCUAAUUUUUGGGAGCCUGGAGAAGGGGAACAGAGCGUUAUGAGGUAAGGACCAUACCCCGUAUCCCAUCUCAGCCACUACCCCUUCCUUCCGGCCCUUCCUCCUCUCCCAUCCUUUUCUCUCGUGGAGAAGACCCGUCUGUCCGGGCCCUACACUGUGGGCAGCGGGCAGGCGCAGGGAGGCACACAGC
ensembl:lncRNA